rnacentral:rRNA from 1 species
GAUGAACGCUGGCGGCGUGCCUAAUACAUGCAAGUCGAGCGAAUGGAUUAAGAGCUUGCUCUUAUGAAGUUAGCGGCGGACGGGUGAGUAACACGUGGGUAACCUGCCCAUAAGACUGGGAUAACUCCGGGAAACCGGGGCUAAUACCGGAUAACAUUUUGAACCGCAUGGUUCGAAAUUGAAAGGCGGCUUCGGCUGUCACUUAUGGAUGGACCCGCGUCGCAUUAGCUAGUUGGUGAGGUAACGGCUCACCAAGGCAACGAUGCGUAGCCGACCUGAGAGGGUGAUCGGCCACGCGGGGACUGAAACACGGCCCAGACUCCUACGGGAGGCAGCAGUAGGGAAUCUUCCGCAAUGGACGAAAGUCUGACGGAGCAACGCCGCGUGAGUGAUGAAGGCUUUCGGGUCGUAAAACUCUGUUGUUAGGGAAGAACAAGUGCUAGUUGAAUAAGCUGGCACCUUGACGGUACCUAACCAGAAAGCCACGGCUAACUACGUGCCAGCCGCCGCAGUAA